UGCCAAUCAAAAAUUUAGUUGAUAUCACUAAAUUGACAAAUUUUGAUAACAAUUAAUUUUUUAGCAAAAAAUUACAAUUUUUAUUUCCUCUUUAUGUAUUUAUAAUAAUUUUUUCUGAUCAAGUUAAUUUGCGAAAAUAUUAGCAACGCAAUGUCUUUUAUAUAUUAUCUUUGUUCGAAUGCAAGAUGUUUCAGCUCAAACUAUUUUUAUUGUUUUAUUAGGGUGCCGGGGUCUCGAAAAAAAUGCACGCAGAAGAUUUCUUUGUGGCACAUAUCCAACACAUAUACCGGAGGCCUCAUUUUUUCUCACCCUUUCCUACCCACACAAAUUUUUCUCCUCAGCACCCUCUAAAGUAUUUCACAAUAUUCAGUUCUUUGUGGAAUUUUCCAUCGAAAGUACGCAAAAUAUUUUGUCUUCAAUCAAUGAGAUAUGUGAAAAGUAAAAUUAAUCCAUUUUUAUAGUAGUUUUGAGAGUGAAAAUUGUGGAAAAGCCGAUUGUUAAAAAAAAGGAUAAACAUGACAAGGUAUUGUAUAAUUUAAAUGAAUAACAAUUCUUUAUAUUACGAAUUGAUUUGCAAUAAAUAAAAUUAUCAACUUUAAAUUCAACCAACUAAUUAUAUGAUUUUAUUAUCUUGCAGUAAAUCAGACUACAUACAAUAAAUAGGAGAGAUAUAUGGAUCUUAUUCUCAUCGAAGCCAUCCGGUCUGUACUUUGAUAAUUUUCCGAAGAUUUCACCGAAUGAGCGCAUAUAGCCCAUCUUGCGCGCUGUAAACCCAUAAUCGAAUUGUGAAAAAUUCGGUUGAAGAAAUAGGAUAAACACGAAAAGUUAGUUAAUCAAACGACAAUGAACAAAAGGAACAUGGAUCUUAUUCUCAUUGAAGCCCUUCUAUCAGUACCUGGAUAAAGCAUGCUGAUCACAAAUAUUGAUUAAAAUAGGAUAGAGGAAAUCAAUUCGCGAGAAUUGAAGUUUAAAGAUUUCGUCAACUGACAUAAAAAGCAGGACUUUCUCGAUUCUAUGAAGAGGGGAACUUUGGAGGAAAAUGACGCUGAAUGUUGUGGACACUUCAUAAAAUUGCCCAACUUCACUGGACACAUUCUCUUUUUGUUUUAACAAAACGGGGUAAAAGAGA